AGAGUUUGAUCCUGGCUCAGAUUGAACGCUAGCGGGAUGCCUUACACAUGCAAGUCGAACGGCAGCACGGACUUCGGUCUGGUGGCGAGUGGCGAACGGGUGAGUAAUGUAUCGGAACGUGCCCAGUAGCGGGGGAUAACUACGCGAAAGCGUAGCUAAUACCGCAUACGCCCUACGGGGGAAAGCAGGGGAUCGCAAGACCUUGCACUAUCGGAGCGGCCGAUAUCGGAUUAGCUAGUUGGUGGGGUAACGGCUCACCAAGGCGACGAUCCGUAGCUGGUCUGAGAGGAUGAUCAGCCACACUGGAACUGAGACACGGUCCAGACUCCUACGGGAGGCAGCAGUAGGGAAUAUUGGACAAUGGGCGCAAGCCUGAUCCAACCAUGCCGCGUGAGUGAAGAAGGCCCUCGGGUUGUAAAGCUCUUUUGUCCGGAAAGAAAAGCGUCGGGUUAAUACCCCGAUGUCCUGACGGUACCGGAAGAAUAAGCACCGGCUAACUUCGUGCCAGCAGCCGCGGUAAUACGAAGGGUGCAAGCGUUACUCGGAAUUACUGGGCGUAAAGCGUGCGUAGGUGGUUCGUUAAGUCCGAUGUGAAAGCCCUGGGGCUCACCUGGGGAUGGCAUUGGAUACUGGGCGGCUAGAGUGCGG
rnacentral:rRNA from 1 species